GUUUAUGUUUAUCCAUUUCUUGGAUGUGCAUUGUGCAAUGGCGGCUCAGGCAGUCAGGCGGCUGUCCGUAGUCCGUAUAGUAGCCCUAAGCAUUUUACCAUUCCCUACAUGCAUUUCAGCAACAAGGGAUAUUUAUCACGUAUAUAUUGCUGUUUUUAGUGUUGGGGGGCGUUGUGUCUGCUCACCUCGGCUUCGCCUCGGUUGCGCUGGUCGCUUUGUCGUUCAUACUAUGUCGUUUAACUUCCCUCGGCCUUCGGCCUCGGUACGUACCUAUACCAGCAAGCAGUUAGUGGUAAUGAAUAUUGAAUACCUAUACCAGCGUCCAGCAGCAGUUAGUGGUAAUGAACUAAUGAAUCGGUUAUAAUUUGUUUUUGUUUAUUUUUAAUUUUAUGUAUUGAAAAUUGAAAAAUAAUAAAUGUGUGCGUGUGCAUA